CCUGAAUUGGUUAAUGUACUUUUUUUUCUCCUUGAUAUUGUUUCAAGCUUUCCAUUUGAUCACAAGAAGGAAAUUGGGAAGAUCCCAUAAGCUUCCGCCCGGUCCACCAACAAUUCCGAUCUUCGAGAACCUUUUCCAGGUUGGUGAUAAACCCCAUAGGUCCCUUGCCAAACUUGCCAAGAUUCAUGGGGACAUCAUGACUCUGAAACUUGGCCAGACUACUACCGUAGUUUUUUCAUCUGCAACAAUGGCCAAAGAAAUCUUCCAAAAGCAUGAUGCCGUAUCUUGUAACCGAACCAUUCCCGAUGCCCUUCGUGCCCUUCAACAUCACGAAGCCGGAUUGCCUUGGAUGCCUGUUUCAACCACAUGGAGAAAUCUUAGGAAAAUCUGCAAUUUGCAUAUUUUCGCUACUCAUAAACUUGACGCUAAUCAAUACUUGAGGCGCAGCAAAGUAGAACAACUCCUUGCUGGUGUUCGCGAAAGUUCCCUCAUCGGAGAAGCGAUUGAGAUACGUUAAGCUGCUUUCAAAACUACGCUUAGUCUCAUAUCAAAUACUAUUUUCUCCAUUGAUUUAGCCGACUCUACUCAUACUUCUGAGGAGUUGUUAAGUUUAGUUCCCAUGCAAAGGUGGCCAUGCACGACAUACAAAGGUGGUCAUGCUCCUGGAAUCGCAGCAAGCAGUGGUGCCAUGGUGUGCAGCAAUUAAAGUUUGAAGCUGCCAAUCUAUUUGCUAUUUUAGUUUCAUUUUGAUUGUUUUGUAAUCUAGUUCAUGUUGAACUAAGUAGGUAAAUGUUUUGAUAUUGAUUGACUGAAAAGUCAGCAAUGCAAGUUGUACAAGCUAAUCUUGUAAGUUUCAAUGCAAAUUAGUGGAGUUAGGUAGUUGAUUAGGUGAUUACUUGUUUGUUUUACUUAUUGACUAAUAUAUGUAAUGGCUUAAUGCCUUGUUGUAAUGUUAAUGAAAGAUAUCAGCUCUUUUUCAUUCAAUCUUCUUCUCUCUUUUCUGUUUUUUCACUUGCUAGUUUCAUCUUUCUGUUUUCUGCUUCCGAGCUUGCUUCUUCACCAAGGCUCGAGACUUACUACUCAAGCAAGACUUGAAACAGUUUGUUGCUGCCUCUUGCACCAACAAUUGGUAUCGAGAGCUCUUGUCUUAGUGGACCUGUUGCUUCAAAACAAGGAACUUGAUGGCUUCUUCAGGAUUUUCACCAGCAGCCCCACCAGUCUUCAAUGGAGAAGGCUUUCACAUAUGGCUGGUCAAGAUGAAGACUUACCUACAGGCCUUCGAUCUGUGGGAAGUUGUCAACACAGAUACUGAGCCAGCACCACUGAGGGCUAAUCCCACAGUAGCUCAGAUGAGGCAACAUGCUGAUGAGAGGACCAAAAGGCACAAAGCCAUGUCCUGCAUCCAGAACUGUGUGUCAGAUGUCAUCUUCACCAGAAUCAUGGCCUGUGAGACUCCAAAACAGGCCUGGGAUAAGCUUAAGGAGGAGUUUCAAGGCACUGAGAGAACAAGGCAACAGCAGCUGUUAAACUUGAGAAGGGAUUUCGAGAAUUUGAAGAUGAAGGAAGAAGAAACAGUGAAGCAGUACUCAGAUAGAAUUAUGGCAGUGGUUAACAGUAUAAGGCUCCUAGGUGAGCACUUUGAUGAGGCAAGAAUUGUGGAGAAAGUUCUCUCCACUUUGCCUGAGAGAUAUGAGGCCAAGAUAUCCUCCCUAGAGGACUCAAGAGACCUUGCUAGCAUCUCUUUGACUGAGUUAAUCAACACCUUCUAUGCUCAGGAACAAAGGAGAGCUAGCAGAGCUGAAGAUCACCAAGAAGGUGCAUUUCAAGCCAAGGCCAGAGAAACCUCGAGCAUUAAUGCUCAAAGAGGCAAAAAGCCUUGGAAAAACAGGCCUAAGCCUGAUGUUGCAAGAAGCAAUGACCAACCCUGCAGAUAUUGCAAGAAGCCUGGCCAUCCAGAAGACAGAUGCUGGUUUAGGCCAGAUGCAGUAUGUCAACACUGCAAGAAGAAGGGCCAUGUUGAAAGGGUCUGCAAAAACAGAAGUAAGCCAAGGCAGAAUCAAUUUCAGCAGUCAAAGGUUGAAGCUCGAGUAGCUGAGGACAGUAGUGACCAAGAAGAACAGGUCUUUGCUGUUUCCUGUGUAGCUUCUGAGAAGAAAUGCUCCAAAGGCUGGUUGCUGGACAGUGGUUGCACUAACCACAUGUCACCAGAUGCCUCCUUGUUUAAAACCUUGGACAGAAGUUAUAAAACCAAGGUCAAGGUUGGAAAUGGUCAGUUUAUAAGGGCUGAAGGAAGAGGAGAAGUGCUGAUAUGUACUCCCACAGGCAACAAGAUCAUUCCAAAUGUGCUGUUGGUACCACAAAUUGACAGAAACCUUCUCAGCAUAGCUCAACUGCUCGAGAAAGGUUAUUCUAUUGUGUUCAAAGAUAAACAAUGCCACAUUACUGAUCCAAGUGGAUCAAGCCUUAUGACAGUCACAAUGACUGAUAAAUGCUUUGAGGUUCACUGGGCAAAUGACUCAAACUCAGCAUACACAGCCUCUGUUGAAGACUCCAAGCUUUGGCAUCAAAGGCUUGGACAUGCUAACUUCAGAUCAAUGGCUCGAUUGGCCAAAGAGGGCUUGGCAGAGAACUUCAUCAGCUCAGUGGAGCAUGAUGAUGUGUGUGAAGUUUGCCAAAUGGGGAAACAGGCAAGAUUGCCAUUUCCUACAAAUUCAGCUUGGAGAGCUACUGAAAGACUGCAGCUGGUGCACUCUGAUGUAUGUGGCCCGAUGAGGACUGAAUCACUCAGCAAAAACAGGUAUUUCAUCCUCUUUAUUGAUGAUCUUACAAGGUUUUGCUGGAUUUUCUUUUUAAAACACAAGUCUGAGGUAGCUCAAGUGUUUGUGAAGUUUAAAAAUGCUGUAGAAACAGAAACAGGUUGCAAGCUGAAAUCGAUAAGGACUGACAAUGGCACUGAGUACACUUCAGCUCAAUUUCAAGCCAUUUGCAAUGAUGCUGGUAUCAAACAUUAGCUUACAAAUGUCUACACACCUCAGCAGAAUGGGGUAGCUGAAAGAAAGAAUAGAAGUCUGAUGGAUAUGGCCAGAUGUCUGCUGUUUGAGAAGGAACUGCCCAAAACUAUGUGGGCUGAGGCAGUAAACACUGCUGUUUACCUUCAGAACAGGCUUCCUACUAAAGCUCUUGCAUCCGAGACACCUUUCGAGGCUUGGUUCAGUUUCAAACCUUCCUUGGCACAUCUGAAGGUGUUUGGUUGCCUGUGUUAUGCACAAAUACCAGCAGCAAAGAGAGACAAGCUCUCCAAAAGGGCUCAACCAGGUGUUCUAGUAGGCUACAGCUCAGUCAAGAAGGGCUACAGGGUUCUGGAUCCCUUGACAAACAAAGUCCAGGUGAGCAGAGAUGUCAUCUUUGAUGAAAAAGCCUGCUGGAAUUGGGAGAAAAAUGAGCCAGAAGCAGUUUCAGAAGACCUAGUGCCUAAUCAAGCUGAACCUGAGCAGCUAGGACCUGAAAUGGAUGUUGAUGAUGUGCCUGUGAGAGGCACAAGGCCCCUAGAUGAUGUUUAUGAAAGGGCACAGGUUGCAAUAGCAGAACCUAGCAGUUUUGAAGAGGCUGAGGCAGAUGAAGGCAGGAAACUAGCUAUGGUCAAUGAAAUCAACAUGAUUGAAAAGAACCAGACAUGGGAGCUAGUUGAUAAACCUGUUGGAAAGAAGACCAUUGGAGUAAAAUGGGUCUAUCGAGUAAAACAGAAUGCAGAUGGCAGUCUGAACAAGCUAAAAGCCAGGCUUGUUGUCAAAGGAUUUAGCCAAAGGUAUGGUCUGGACUACCUGGAGACAUUUGCACCAGUAGCCAGGCUUGACACAGUCAGAAUGAUAGUUGCUUUGGCUGCUCAACAUCAGUGGAUCAUUCAUCAGCUUGAUGUUAAGUCUGCAUUUCUCAAUGGUUUCCUGGAAGAAGAGAUCUACAUCGAGCAGCCUCAAGGAUUUGUGAUCACUGGCAAAGAACACAUGGUGUACAGACUGAAAAAGGCUUUAUAUGGCCUGAAACAGGCUCCUCGAGCCUGGUAUGCUCGAAUUGACUCUUACUUACUCAGUUUGGAAUUUGAGAGAAGUCCCAGUGAACCAACACUGUAUGUGAAGAAGAACCAAGCUGAAACUCAGCUUAUUCUGUCACUCUAUGUUGAUGAUCUAUUGGUAACUGGAGGAGAUAGAAGAAUGCUGGAAAAUUUCAAAAGAAAAAUGAUGGAAAUGUUUGAAAUGUCUGAUUUAGGCAGAAUGAACUACUUCCUUGGAAUGGAAGUGAACCAAACAGAAAAGGGAAUCUUUCUUAGUCAGAGUUCUUUUACUAUGAAGAUCCUGGACAAGUUCUCUAUGAAGAACUGCAAGCCAACAAGCACACCAAUGGCUGUUGGAGUGAAGCUUUCGAGACAAGGGAGUGGUGAACCAAUUUGCGAGGCCAUGUACAAGAUUCUCAUUGGUAGUCUGUUGUAUUUGACUGCCACAAGGCCCGAUAUCAUGUUUGCUGUUAGUGUGCUAUCAAGAUACAUGAAUUGCUGCAAUGAUCAGCACUUUCAAGCAGCUAAAAGGGUGCUAAGAUACAUCAAAGGCACCAUUAGUCAUGGUGUAUUGUUAAAAAGGGCUGAAAACAUGAAGCUGAUAGGCUAUGUUGAUAGUGACUGGGCUGGAUCAAGUGAUGACAUGAGGAGCACAUCCGGAUAUGCAUUCAGUCUUGGCUCAGGCAUGUUUUGCUGGAGUUCUAAGAAACAAAGUCUGGUGGCACAAUCAACAGCAGAAGCUGAAUAUGUUGCUGCUGCAUCAGCUGUGAACCAAGCCAUAUGGCUUAGAAAAAUCUUAGCUGAUUUAAACCAAAACCAAAAGGAGGCAACAGAGAUUUAUUGUGACAACAAAUCUGCUGUUGCAAUUGCAAAAAAUCCCAUUUUUCAUGGCAGAACCAAGCACUUCAAUAUUAAGUUGCAUGUUAUAAGGGAGAUGGAACAAGCUCAUGAAAUCGAGCUGAUUCAUUGCAAUUCAGAAGUGCAAAUUGCUGAUAUCUUCACAAAGGCACUCAAUGUGUCUAAAUUUGUUAAAUUCAAAAGGGAAUUAGGUGUUACUAGCAUGGAAACUAAGGAGGAGUGUUAAGUUUAGUUCCCAUGCAAAGGUGGCCAUGCACGACAUACAAAGGUGGUCAUGCUCCUGGAAUCGCAGCAAGCAGUGGUGCCAUGGUGUGCAGCAAUUAAAGUUUGAAGCUGCCAAUCUAUUUGCUGUUUUAGUUUCAUUUUGAUUGUUUUGUAAUCUAGUUCAUGUUGAACUAAGUAGGUAAAUGUUUUGAUAUUGAUUGACUGAAAAGUCAGCAAUGCAAGUUGUACAAGCUAAUCUUGUAAGUUUCAAUGCAAAUUAGUGGAGUUAGGUAGUUGAUUAGGUGAUUACUUGUUUGUUUUACUUAUUGACUAAUAUAUGUAAUGGCUUAAUGCCUUGUUGUAAUGUUAAUGAAAGAUAUCAGCUCUUUUUCAUUCAAUCUUCUUCUCUCUUUUCUGUUUUUUCACUUGCUAGUUUCAUCUUUCUGUUUUCUGCUUCCGAGCUUGCUUCUUCACCAAGGCUCGAGACUUACUACUCAAGCAAGACUUGAAACAGUUUGUUGCUGCCUCUUGCACCAACAGGAGUUCCGAGAAAUUGUGCGGGG
rnacentral:lncRNA from 1 species